UACGGGGGGGGCAAGCGUUGUUCGGAAUUACUGGGCGUAAAGGGCUUGUAGGCGGCCAACUAAGUCAGACGUGAAAUCCCUCGGCUUAACCGGGGAACUGCGUCUGAUACUGGAUGGCUAGAGAUUGGGAGAGGGAUGCGGAAUUCCAGGUGUAGCGGUGAAAUGCGUAGAUAUCUGGAGGAACACCGGUGGCGAAGGCGGCACCCUGGACCAACACUGACGCUGAGGAGCGAAAGCCAGGGGAGCAAACGGG
rnacentral:rRNA from 1 species